rnacentral:lncRNA from 1 species
UAUUCCUCUCUGCAAUUUUAGCUAGAGAGUAAAAGAACAUUCAUCACUCUGUUUUCUUCAUUCUUUCAUUCUUUUCUCUUCAAUAUUCCAUAACUCAGAUAAAAUACAAAACACUAACAUGGCCUCAAAGCCAAGUUCGAUCAAUUGAGGCUGAGCGUUCUCAAUACUGUGAAAUCGGGCUACAUCGGAGCUCAAUCGAGGUUCGGUUAAGGUUGCUGGAAAUCGAUCAUACCCUAAAACAACUUGGUUUUUGGCUUAUCUGAGAUUAGCGAUGGCUGAAUUUGGAAGUUCAAAAGUAAGAACUCUGAUCUUCUCCGGUAAGAGUUACGAGUUUUGGAGAAUCAAGAUCGUGACCAUAUUCUUUUUUAAUUCUAAAAGAAAAAUCAGAUCAUGGAUUAUAUUUUUAUGGAACACAACUACCCAUUAUCUUUUUUAAUUCUAAAAUAAAUUUUAAAUUUUUUUUUUUUUAAAAAAAUAGCCUAUCACAGGCGCGGAAGUGCGUACGAAGAGGCUAGUUUCAUUUAAAUAUGUUGUGAAUGUACUAAUUUAACAUUAUAUAAUAAAAUAUUUUCUGUUUUAAUAUUUUCAUUAACCAAGGUUAUUUUGGGGAUUUUGAAGUUUCACUUUUAAGGCCUUCUACCUUU